CGGCGGACGGGUGAGUAAUGCAUAGGAAUCUGCCCAGUAGUGGGGGAUAGCCCGGGGAAACCCGGAUUAAUACCGCAUACGCCCUUUGGGGGAAAGCAGGGGAUCUUCGGACCUUGCGCUAUUGGAUGAGCCUAUGUCGGAUUAGCUAGUUGGUGGGGUAAAGGCCUACCAAGGCGACGAUCCGUAGCUGGUCUGAGAGGAUGAUCAGCCACAUCGGGACUGAGACACGGCCCGAACUCCUACGGGAGGCAGCAGUGGGGAAUAUUGGACAAUGGGGGCAACCCUGAUCCAGCCAUGCCGCGUGUGUGAAGAAGGCUUUCGGGUUGUAAAGCACUUUCAGUGAGGAGGAAAACCUUCUGGUUAAUACCCAUGAGGCUUGACGUUACUCACAGAAGAAGCACCGGCUAACUCCGUGCCAGCAGCCGCGGUAAUACGGAGGGUGCAAGCGUUAAUCGGAAUUACUGGGCGUAAAGCGCGCGUAGGUGGUUUGAUAAGCGAGAUGUGAAAGCCCCGGGCUUAACCUGGGAACGGCAUUUCGAACUGUCAGGCUAGAGUGUGGUAGAGGGUAGUGGAAAUUUCCUGUGUAGCGGUGAAAUGCGUAGAUAUAGGAAGGGA
rnacentral:rRNA from 1 species